rnacentral:rRNA from 1 species
GACGAACGCUGGCGGCGUGCUUAACACAUGCAAGUCGAGCGGUAAGGCCCUUUCGGGGGUACACGAGCGGCGAACGGGUGAGUAACACGUGGGUGACCUGCCCUCAGCUCUGGGAUAAGCCUGGGAAACUGGGUCUAAUACUGGAUAUGACUCCACGGUGCAUGUCGUGGGGGUGGAAAGCCUUGUGCGGCUGAGGAUGGGCCCGCGGCCUAUCAGCUUGUUGGUGGGGNGAUGGCCUACCAAGGCGACGACGGGUAGCCGGCCUGAGAGGGCGACCGGCCACACUGGGACUGAGACACGGCCC